rfam:Gorilla gorilla gorilla genomic chromosome, chr1, whole genome shotgun sequence
GCCGGGCAUGGUGGCUCAUGCCUGUAAUCCCAGUACUUUGGGAGGCCAAGACGGGUGGAUCACCUGAGGCCAGGAGUUUGAGACCAGCCUGGCCAACAUGGUGAAACCCUGUCUCUA